AGGCUGAAUAGGACCCAAUGGGGCCUUAGCAGCCAAGCUCUUAGAAGCAGCUGUAAGUAGGCACUGUUGCCUGCAGGGUGAAGUAGCAUGGGAGUGAGAGGAAGAUGAGUUACCAAGAGGAAAAGUUGAAUUUGCCGGAGGGUUUGAAUAAAGGGCAUCUUUCCUGAGACGGUUUCAAACACUGAAUCACCAUGGAAGCAUUUGAAAGCCAGAAGCAAUAUUUUGCCCAAUCUCUUUCCUCCCUCAGAACAACUCCCCAGGAGGUGUCAGAGAUGGAGUUACUCUAAAUUUACCCUCGGGUAACUGAGAGCAGAACUUGGCUCCCUGUCUGUCAUCACUGCCAAGAGUCCGGAGGCAGCCAGUAUUGUCCUGAGGGUUUGGUAAAAUCAUCUGCUGAACAAGACCCCACCUUAGCUUCUCCAACACAAGAACCAAUAUUUGGGCCUUUUUUAAUCUUUUUGUACAGAUUAAAUACUCCAGUGUAGCAUUGUGUCCAAGUACACAUUUUAAUAGAUGCCUAACUCAGAAAGAAAUUUACAGAUAAAACCUAGGAUGUUUGAAAUGGCCAAUCCUUUUCAACCAUAGCUGUUUUUAAUAAA